rnacentral:rRNA from 1 species
AAACCUUCAAGACUUCUCAUUGGAGUGAGGACGUGGUCGAACAUUCACCCUUCCAUCCAUUGACUCAUUGUUGCUGAUAUCAUAGACAGAUGGGACCUGGAAGAUACACCAAAAACCGAAGAAAAAGUUCUCAAAAGUGCGGAAGAGCGAUAUAGAGGCCGACGACCAACUCUAAGCUCCACGUACAAGACAUACAAAACAGAUGCAGCUAGAUUGGCUAAUCUGUUGAAAGAUUUACAACCAGAAGAGUGGGAAUGGAUGAUUGAGUACUUUGGCACUGAUUCAAUAUUUCAGGUUAUCUCUAAGAUCACUCUUUGUCUACUAUGUGUUCAGAUGAAAUUGCUUUCAGUAUGGUUAUAUUUCAUUUCGAUUAAUUGGUAG